CGAACGACGAACGAACAUCUAAUCGCCACUUGAACUAAUAACUGCAAUAUUGGAACUCUGUUUGGAUUUAAAGCGCAAACCAAAUGAAACCCCCUAAAAAGGAAGGCGUCGGAAGACAAGACCACAAAAUUCUACUCCAAGUACCCAUUGUGCCCAAAGGAAGAUGCUUGACUUUUGACUUUAAACCCUGUGAACGUUAUACAGAGGACAGUUUACAGUGGAAUUUUUAAACGCUGAGUCUUUUGGUGCAGUUCUUCAGCGGAAUUGGUUUUAGAGGUACCGCGGACGAUGAGGCCCCAGUUUAUGUUUUAGUUGGACUAUUUUAAAAUCUUAAUUAUAAAGACGCCAAAGAGCAAUCCCUCGUAACAACAUCAAAGAGGUAAAAUGUCUCAGAUUUCCCUCACUCUCGUUUAAUCUCUCUGUUUCCGAUUAAAUUUAUUUUAAGCUUAAUUAAAAUGAAGUCUAACGAAAUUGUCCUUAGU